rnacentral:misc_RNA from 1 species
GGAGACCGCCCCAGUCAAACUGCCCAACUGACACUGUCCCAAGCCUGGAUUCACAGGACAAGGUUAGAACUAAAGCACAUUCAGGGUGGUAUUUCAACGACGACUCUGCGAUGGCUGGCGCCACCGCCUCAAAGUCUCCCACCUAUCCUACACAAAACGUACCUCAGCCCAAUAGCAGCCUACAGUAAAGGUUCAUGGGGUCU